rnacentral:rRNA from 1 species
CAGCCGUAAACUAUGCUCGCUAGGUGUCAGGCAUGGCGCGACCGUGUCUGGUGCCGCAGGGAAGCCGUGAAGCGAGCCACCUGGAAGUACGGCCGCAAGGCUGAAACUUAAAGGAAUUGGCGGGGGAGCACAACAACGGGUGGAGCCUGCGGUUUAAUUGGACUCAACGCCGGACAACUCACCGGGGACGACAGCAAUAUGUAGGCCAGGCUGAAGACCUUGCCUGAAUCGCUGAGAGGAGGUGCAUGGCGUAGACGUCU